AAAAAAAAUUUAUUAAAUACAUUAAUAUUUAAUUUUUAAAUUUAAAUUACUGAUAUAAAAUUAUGGUUCACUGAUAAAUCUAUUUAUAGCUACUACCUGCGAUUAAAAAACGGUAAUGCACGAUUUCCCAAGUCUACUAGAUAAGAUUGAGAUCGAGGUUCAAAUUAAAGUUUAUAGUCACACCAUUCAAAGUCCCCACAGAGAAAGCUUUAGUAUUUUUAAAUAUUAAACACUUGACGCAUGCUUAGGAUUUUUAAUGACAACUGUAAGGAACAAUGGCGACAGAAAUAAAAUAACUCGGAAGCUUUACUGAUUAAGGGCAUUCUCCGUCAAGCUCUCCCCUUCACUUUUUAAAGGAAGCACAAAAGCAGUGAUAAUGAUAUGAGCAAGAGUGCAAGGAAAUUUUUUUCUUUUCAUAAUUAUUAUUAUUGUUAUCAAAGUUCAUAAUAACAGGAGAGAGAGAGUAGAAGAAGAAGAAGUAUAGUAAUUAGAAGAAGAAGAAAGCAAGCUAAUACAGUAUGAACCUACCGAGACCUUCAAGUUCGGGAUAAUUAGGUGCUUGGACUAAAGGAUAAAAAGAAAUAGAUGAAUAAACUGUAUUAGUAUGACUGUUAUUUAAAAAACGUAUUGUUUAAAAUGAUAUAUUUAAAUAACGACGAAGUCUGUGCAGCCACUGCGACAGUAUUUUAUCUAAUGAUGAUCAGAAUCCACCUGUGACUUUAAAAUACUAAUUAUCACUAUAAUAAUUAAUUAUAAUUGAUAACUAAACUCAUCUCGAGAUGAUGCGAUGCGUCAAAUGUAUUUAUAUUUAUUAAUAAUAAUAAAUAAUUAAUUAGAUGAUUAAAGUUUGCGAGUUUGAUUUAUAAAUUUUAGUACUGCCGCAAUAGCUUUGCUGUCUGAACUUGAAUUAUAAAGUAUCAGUAUUAAGUUUUGAAUAUAAUUAUUAGU